GAUGAACGCUGGCGGCGUGCCUAAUACAUGCAAGUCGAGCGAACAGACGAGGAGCUUGCUCCUCUGACGUUAGCGGCGGACGGGUGAGUAACACGUGGAUAACCUACCUAUAAGACUGGGAUAACUUCGGGAAACCGGAGCUAAUACCGGAUAAUAUAUUGAACCGCAUGGUUCAAUAGUGAAAGACGGUUUUGCUGUCACUUAUAGAUGGAUCCGCGCCGCAUUAGCUAGUUGGUAAGGUAACGGCUUACCAAGGCAACGAUGCGUAGCCGACCUGAGAGGAUGAUCGGCCACACUGGAACUGAGACACGGUCCAGACUCCUACGGGAGGCAGCAGUAGGGAAUCUUCCGCAAUGGGCGAAAGCCUGACGGAGCAACGCCGCGUGAGUGAUGAAGGUCUUCGGAUCGUAAAACUCUGUUAUUAGGGAAGAACAAAUGUGUAAGUAACUAUGCACGUCUUGACGGUACCUAAUCAGAAAGCCACGGCUAGCUACGUG
rnacentral:rRNA from 1 species